rnacentral:lncRNA from 1 species
UUGCUUUUGCUAACUUUUGAAUUGCUGUUAUUUGUGUUUUUCAGACUGAGGAAAUGGGAGGGCGAUUUUGGGAAGUGAAGUUGACAAGAAGUUGACAGGAAACUGACACUGUGCUGAUAGAGGAAAAUUAGGAGAAGGCACAAUCAGUGAGUGGGUCUCUUGACAUGGCAAGAAAUUCAAGUCAGGUGGAGGAGGCAACAUUUUUGUCUUCUGUGCAGCUUUAU